rnacentral:rRNA from 1 species
AUUGAACGCUGGCGGCAUGCUUUACACAUGCAAGUCGGACGGCAGCGGGGUAGUGCUUGCACUACUGCCGGCGAGUGGCGAACGGGUGAGUAAUAUAUUGGAACGUACCGAGUAAUGGGGGAUAACCAAUCGAAAGAUUGGCUAAUACCGCAUACGCUCUGAGGAGGAAAGCAGGGGACCUUCGGGCCUUGCGUUAUUCGAGCGGCCAAUAUCUGAUUAGCUAGUUGGUGGGGUAAGGGCCUACCAAGGCGACGAUCAGUAGCGGGUCUGAGAGGAUGAUCCGCCACACUGGGACUGAGACACGGCCCAGACUCCUACGGGAGGCAGCAGUGGGGAAUUUUGGACAAUGAGCGCAAGCCUGAUCCAGCCAUGCCGCGUGUCUGAAGAAGGCCUUCGGGUUGUAAAGGACUUUUGUUAGGGAAGAAAAAGGAGCGGUUAAUACCCGUUUCUGCUGACGGUACCUAAAGAAUAAGCACCGGCUAACUACGU